rnacentral:rRNA from 1 species
AGUGAACGCUGGCGGCAGGCCUAAUACAUGCAAGUCGAGCGGCAGCGCGGGGCAACCUGGCGGCGAGCGGCGAACGGGUGAGUAAUACAUCGGAACGUGCCCAGACGUUGGGGAUAACUACUCGAAAGAGUAGCUAAUACCGCAUAUGAUCGAAGGAUGAAAGCGGGGGCUCGCAAGAUCUCGCGCGUUUGGAGCGGCCGAUGGGGGAUUAGGUAGUUGGUGGGGUACAGGCUUACCAAGCCUGCGAUCUGUAGCUGGUCUGAGAGGACGACCAGCCACACUGGGACUGAGACACGGCCCAGACUCCUACGGGAGGCAGCAGUGGGGAAUUUUGGACAAUGGGCGAAAGCCUGAUCCAGCCAUUCCGCGUGCAGGAUGAAGGCCCUCGGGUUGUAAACUGCUUUUGUACAGAACGAAAAAGCUCUGGUUAAUACCUGGAGUCCAUGACGGUACUGUAAGAAUAAGCACCGGCUAACUACGUGCCAGCAGCCGCCGUAA